GGCGGCGUUGCUUAACACAUGGCAAGUCGAACGAAGCGGCAGUGAAGGAGGCUUCGGCCAAUGGAUCUGACGACUUAGUGGCGGACGGGUGAGUAACGCGUGAGCAACCUGCCUUUUCAGGAGGGGGUAUAACGUUUGGAAACGAACGCUAAAUACCGCAUGACAUUAGUCUUAUCGCAUGGUAGGGCUAUCAAAGGAGCAAUCCGCUGAAAGAUGGGCUCGCGUCCGAUUUAGAUAGUUGGUGGGGUAACGGCCUACCAAGUCGACGAUCGGUAGCCGGACUGAGAGGUUGAACGGCCACAUUGGGACUGAGACACGGCCCAGACUCCUAACGGGAGGCAGCAGUGGGGAAUAUUGCACAAUGGGCGCGAAGCCUGUAAUGCAGCAACGCCGCGUGUAGGGAAGACGGUUUUCGGAUUGUAAACCUCUGUCCUUGGUGAAGAUUAUGACGGUAGCCGAGGAGGAAGCCACGGCUAACUACGUGCCAGCCGCCGC
rnacentral:rRNA from 1 species